GAUGAAGAACGCAGCGAAAUGCGAUAAGUAAUGUGAAUUGCAGAAUUCAGUGAAUCAUCGAAUCUUUGAACGCACAUUGCGCCCCUUGGUAUUCCGAGGGGCGUGCCUGUUCGAGCGUCAUUAUAACCCCUCAAGCUCAGCUUGGUGUUGGGGCCUGCUGCACUGGCAGCCCUUAAAAUCAGUGGCGGCGCCAUCUGGCUCUAAGCGUAGUAAUUCUUCUCGCUAUGGAGUCCUGGUGGAUGCUUGCCAUCAACCCCCAAUUUUUCUAUGGUUGACCUCGGAUCAGGUAGGGAUACCCGCUGAACUUAAGCAUAUCAAUAAGCGGAGGA
rnacentral:misc_RNA from 1 species